GUGAGGAAUUUUCCGCAAUGGGCGAAAGCCUGACGGAGCAAUGCCGCGUGAAGGAUGAAGGCCUAUGGGUUGUAAACUUCUUUUCUCAGAAAAGAAUUAUGACGGUAUCUGAGGAAUAAGCAUCGGCUAACUCUGUGCCAGCAGCCGCGGUAAGACAGAGGAUGCAAGCGUUAUCCGGCAUGAUUGGGCGUAAAGCGUCUGUAGGUUGUUUAAAAAGUAUUCUGUCAAAGAUUAGGGCUUAACCCUAGAUAGGCAGAAUAAACUUUUAAGCUAGAGUUUGGUAGAGGCUGAGGGAAUGCCCGGUGGAGCGGUGAAAUGCGUAGAUAUCGGGAGGAACACCAAAGGCGAAGGCACUCUGCUGGGCCAAUACUAACACUGAGAGACGAAAGCGAGGGGAGCAAAUGGGAUUAGAAACCCUAGUAGUCC
rnacentral:rRNA from 1 species